AGCAGCCGCGGUAAUUCCAGCUCCAAUAGCGUAUAUUAAAGUUGUUGCAGUUAAAAGGCUCGUAGUUGAAUUUCGGGAUUGACACAUCGGUCGUGCCUUAAGGGGUAUGAACUGGUGUAGUCAAUUUCUCACCUUCUGGAGAACCGCGAUGCCCUUAAUUGGGUGUCGCGGGGAACCAGGACCUUUACUUUGAAAAAAUUAGAGUGUUUAAAGCAGGCAUUUUGCUUGAAUACAUUAGCAUGGAAUAAUAAAAUAGGACGGCAUGAUUCUAUUUUGUUGGUUUCUAGGAUCACCGUAAUGAUUAAUAGGGAUAGUUGGGGGCAUUAGUAUUCAAUUGUCAGAGGUGAAAUUCUUGGAUUUAUUGAAGACUAACUACUGCGAAAGCAUUUGCCAAGGAUGUUUUCAUUAAUCAAGAACGAAAGUUAGGGGAUCGAAGACGAUCAGAUACCGUCGUAGUCUUAACCAUAAACUAUGCCGACUAGGAAUCAGACGAUG
rnacentral:rRNA from 1 species